rnacentral:ncRNA from 1 species
GCUACCCAGAUUAUAGACCGUCGCAGUAGCCAAUAGGCUAGGUGGCAUGACAAAGUUGUACUUCAAAGUACAUACGUGGUAAAGCUGCACUGCACCUGGCACGUUGAAUGUCAUG